CCUACGGAUGCAGCAGUGGGGAAUAUUGCACAAUGGGGGAAACCCUGAUGCAGCCAUGCCGCGUGUGUGAAGAAGGCCUUCGGGUUGUAAAGCACUUUCAGUAGGGAGGAAGGUAGUGUAGUUAACACCUGCACUAUUUGACGUUACCUACAGAAGAAGCACCGGCUAACUCCGUGCCAGCAGCCGCGGUAAUACGGAGGGUGCGAGCGUUAAUCGGAAUUACUGGGCGUAAAGCGCAUGCAGGCGGUUUGUUAAGUCAGAUGUGAAAUCCCCGGGCUCAACCUGGGAACUGCAUCUGAUACUGGCAAGCUUGAGUCUCGUAGAGGGGGGUAGAAUUCCAGGUGUAGCGGUGAAAUGCGUAGAGAUCUGGAGGAAUACCAGUGGCGAAGGCGGCCCCCUGGACAAAGACUGACGCUCAGAUGCGAAAGCGUGGGGAGCAAACAGGAUUAGAUACCCGGGUAGUC
rnacentral:rRNA from 1 species